rnacentral:sRNA from 1 species
CCGUACCUACCUGCUCUGGAGAAAUAAAGUGAAUGUGAGUAUCUAUUCCGCCGGCCGUAACAAUGAGGCCCUCUCCUGCAAGAGCCUCAGUUGCUGCACCUACGGUCAUACUCGGAGUAACUCCGUCCAUUGUGUCGGGGUUACCGGCUUUUCCGAUUCCUGCUAUUUUUCCAUCUUUUAUUCCUAUGUCUGCUUUAUAAAUUCCGGUAUAGUCUAGAAUAAUGCAGUUUGUAAUUACAAGAUCAAGAUCGCCGUCUUCUCUUGUUGUAUUUACAGACUGCCCCAUUCCAUCGCGA